UAGGGAAUCUUCCGCAAUGGGCGAAAGCCUGACGGAGCAACGCCGCGUGAGUGAUGAAGGUCUUCGGAUCGUAAAACUCUGUUAUUAGGGAAGAACAAAUGUGUAAGUAACUAUGCACGUCUUGACGGUACCUAAUCAGAAAGCCACGGCUAACUACGUGCCAGCAGCCGCGGUAAUACGUAGGUGGCAAGCGUUAUCCGGAAUUAUUGGGCGUAAAGCGCGCGUAGGCGGUUUUUUAAGUCUGAUGUGAAAGCCCACGGCUCAACCGUGGAGGGUCAUUGGAAACUGGAAAACUUGAGUGCAGAAGAGGAAAGUGGAAUUCCAUGUGUAGCGGUGAAAUGCGCAGAGAUAUGGAGGAACACCAGAGGCGAAGGCGACUUUCUGGUCUGUAACUGACGCUGAUGUGCGAAAGCGUGGGGAUCAAACAGG
rnacentral:rRNA from 1 species